UGUGAAUCUAUCAGAGGACAGACGUAUGAGAUCUAUUUGUGAAAUGGAGGCUGUUCGAACAAGGGAGGGGCUCGUGUUUCAACAGCUAUUGUUUUCCUCCAAAACCUUUCUUUACGUGCUACCAUUAGUACAUAGACUAUUUAAUAGAUGCUUCACCACUAUUUUGAUAGAGUUUAUGAGCGAUUGCAUGUGGAUAAGAGAUGUCCAAAUCACAAAUGCUGUCAGAUUAUAUUUAUGUUUCAUUGUCGUCCCUUGACCAUAAUUACCAAGCGAAGAGCUACCGUUGCUGUGUUUUCAAGAUAGUUUUUGAUCGCCCUUUAGAUGUCGUUUAGUUGUCUUGUGAACGUAGAUGUAACUAGCUACGACGAAGGCGGAACAUGGUAGCUAAAUCACUGUUUGAAGAGUUGCUCUACUGAAUGAAUGAAACUUGUGUUUUCCACGAAUUCUCUGUGGAGUUUCUGGCAUCGUGAUGAAGUAGAGUAAUUUCCUGGAUAUAAACCCAUUGAGGGUAGACCACAUUCGCGAUGUUAAAGCGAGUUCUCUGGUUAAAUUGACAACUAAACGCGUUAUUACUAGGUAUUUUUGAAAGUUUCAUUGUAAGUACCGUGAUGGGAGUUACGAGCGAUGGGACCGGUUAUUCCCUUAGCAGCCACGGAAAAACUAAUUGUAUUGUUUGUUUUCACAGUAAUUAGGAAGUAAGCACAAUACAUUGGAAUAAUUUAUAAUAUUUCAAAGUCAAAUCAAGUAAAUAUAUAAAUAAAGGCAAAAUUAUGAAAUUUGCUAAAAAUAUUAAUGCAUCGGGUGUUAUCUAAAAUUUCAAGAUGAAAAUAAAAGUUGAUUCUAAUUAUGUUUUCUGUGCUGUGUCAAAUUACGAUUUUCGGUCUCUCUUUUAUAAAGUUUUAUUAUUAGUAUUAUUACUAUCAUUAUCUAUUUUGCUUGAUUGUCUUUUGUUCUAGUUUGUUAGCUAAUUACGGUACCAAAGCCACGAAGACAUAAAGGGUUUAUUUCCAUUAAAAAAUUUUUUUUCGUUCUCUGGCGUUUUGGCAAUUAUAUAAAUAUUAAAUUUACAGGCGCAGCCAUUUUUGUCUUUUUGUUUUAUUGUGUUUGUAGGCUUGAAUUUGCCCCUAAAAAGUCACGUGACUUCUUAGAGCAAGUCGCGAUAAAAGCCUUCGUUGUUACGGAAAUCAUAACAAAUUUCUGGUUCCUCAUGCUGCUUUUGUUGUAGUCUUUGUGAAGGUGGAAAUAUAUGAGCUAAAAUCAUUUUCGCCAUUUCAAAGCUUAACUCCAUUGCCUGGAAAUAUAAGUACCGCAUGUGUUGAUAUCAUACAUGACUUUGAAAAAAAAAAAUAGAAAUUUAGAUAACUGUUAAAGCGCGGACAGUCUAGGAAGUGUAGGUGCGCGAAAAUUACAAUGUAAAAACUUCCCCGCUCAAAGUAAUAAGCCAUUGGCAAGCCAAGCAAGCCACCACAAUGUGGAUAAAAUUACACCUUCAAAUAUGGUUGAACUCGGAAAAUCCUUUUGUCGUAAUCCGCAGUGUUUCGUCUUGGUGGGUAUCGAAUAAAUAAAUAAAUAAAUAAGCGCGUAUAGAAACAAACACUUUGUUUAUGAACCUAACACGCGUUUCAGAGACCAGGAUUCAGCCAUUUCUACGUUACCUAUGGAACAGUGCGGGUUGAGAUAAAUUUAUUCUCGGGUGCGGCCUUGAUUGAAAUAGAGGGCGCUGAUUGGUCGAGUGGCAGUGAUCAUUUUCUUAAUUGAAAUAGAUGUACAUCGUAAAUACCAAUUACUUGAAAAGGGUUUUUAAUUUAUUUUCCCUGUAUUAGUUUUUUGUGGUCAGGCAAGAACUUUUUAUUGCCUUCUUAUGGAGUAAGGUAUGAGGCAAUAAAGCUCUUUGAUUGACAAUGAAAGCAAUUAACUAUCGAUGAUUUUUCAAAUUAAAAGCAACAAAACACAAGAAGAGAAGGACGAGCAGUGGCAACAACAA